UGGGGAAUAUUGGACAAUGGGCGAAAGCCUGAUCCAGCAAUGCCGCGUGAGUGAUGAAGGCCUUAGGGUUGUAAAGCUCUUUUACCCGGGAUGAUAAUGACAGUACCGGGAGAAUAAGCCCCGGCUAACUCCGUGCCAGCAGCCGCGGUAAUACGGAGGGGGCUAGCGUUGUUCGGAAUUACUGGGCGUAAAGCGCACGUAGGUGGCUUUGUAAGUUAGAGGUGAAGGCCCGGGGCUCAACUCCGGAAUUGCCUUUAAGACUGUAUCGCUAGAACGUCGGAGAGGUAAGUGGAAUUCCGAGUGUAGAGGUGAAAUUCGUAGAUAUUCGGAAGAACACCAGUGGCGAAGGCGACUUACUGGACGACUGUUGACACUGAGGUGCGAAAGCGUGGGGAGCAAACAG
rnacentral:rRNA from 1 species